rnacentral:rRNA from 1 species
GAUGAACGCUGGCGGCGUGCCUAAUACAUGCAAGUCGAGCGAACAAACGCGGAGCUUGCUCCUCUGACGGUAGGGGCGGACGGGUGAGGAGCAAGAGGAGAACCUCCCUAUACGACUGGCAUAACUACGGGAAACCGGAGCUAAUACCGGGUAAUAUAUUGAAUCGGAUGGUUCAUUGGUGAGAGAAGGAUUUGCUGUCACUUGUAGAUGGAUCCGCGCCGCAUUAGCUAGUUGGUAAGGUAACGGCGUACCAAGGCGACGAUGCGUAGCCGACCUGAGAGGGGGAUCGGCCACACUGGAACUGAGACACGGUCCAGACGCCUACGGGAGGCAGCAGUAGGGGAUAUUACGCAAUGGGCGAAAGCUUGCCGGAGCAGCGCCGCGUGGGUGAUGAAGGUCGUCGGAUCGUAAAGCACUGUUAUUAGGGAAGAACAAAUGUGUAAUUAACUAUGCACGUCUUGACGGUACCUAGACAGAAAGCCACGGCUAACUACGUG